rnacentral:rRNA from 1 species
AUUGAGCGCUGGCGGAAUGCUUUACACAUGCAAGUCGAACGGCAGCACGGGGGCAACCCUGGUGGCGAGUGGCGAACGGGUGAGUAAUACAUCGGAACGUGCCCAGUCGUGGGGGAUAACGUAGCGAAAGUUACGCUAAUACCGCAUACGAUCUACGGAUGAAAGCGGGGGACCGUAAGGCCUCGCGCGAUUGGAGCGGCCGAUAUCAGAUUAGGUAGUUGGUGGGGUAAAGGCCCACCAAGCCAACGAUCUGUAGAUGGUCUGAGAGGACGACCAGCCACACUGGAACUGCGACACGGUCAAGCCUACGACGGGAGGCAGCAGUGGGGAAUUUUGGACAAUGGGCGAAAGCCUGAUCCAGCCAUUCCGCGUGCAGGAUGAAAGCCCUCGGGUUGUAAACUGCUUUUGUACAGAACGAAAAGGUUUCUACUAAUACUAGGAGCUCAUGACGGUACUGUAAGAAUAAGCACCGGCUAACUACGUGCCAGCCGCCGCAGUAA